rnacentral:lncRNA from 1 species
AGUUCAUCAACCUCGUCAUCACUCUCAGUCUCGCGUCGUCCUCGUCGUCACCCCCCUGCCAACCUCGUCGUCAUCACUCUCAGUCUCGCGUGGUCCUCGUCGGCUCUGUUCAUCAAGUCGCGGCCUCACCUCUUGUCGUCACUCUCAGUCUCAGGUGGUCCUCAUCAGCGCUGUUCAUCAACUAGCUCAGAAAGGUCAGAACGCUUCUGCAGCCUCACCUCUCCGUCACUCACAGUCUCUGCCUCAGUUCAUC